UAGCCACAGCAAAUGGAUUUGGCCAUUUCUUCUGGUAGCUUGUGUCUCCAUUUACUCUAACAUUUGCUUCUAGCCUUGCUUGGUUCAGGGCCUUAACAAUUUGAAGCUGAGAAAUGAGGAGAUCAUCAUGGAGAACCACCACUGUUCUUGUUGGGACAAUGACUGAGAACUCUUUAACACCAUCAAGAGAAUUGAGGAUAUUCUCAAUCAAACGAACUUCUGAAGAGCAGCAAAGCCCUAACACAUCGAAGUAGCUUUUCUGAAACUUUUUC
rnacentral:misc_RNA from 1 species